CAGUCGCCACGGUAAUACGUAGGUGGCAAGCGUUGUCCGGAAUUAUUGGGCGUAAAGCGCGCGUAGGUGGUUUAAUAAGUCUGAUGUGAAAGCCCACGGCUCAACCGUGGAGGGUCAUUGGAAACUGUUAAACUUGAGUGCAGGAGAGAAAAGUGGAAUUCCUAGUGUAGCGGUGAAAUGCGUAGAGAUUAGGAGGAACACCAGUGGCGAAGGCGGCUUUUUGGCCUGUAACUGACACUGAGGCGCGAAAGCGUGGGGAGCAAACAGGAUUAGAUACCCCUGUAGUCCCUGUCUCUUAUAC
rnacentral:rRNA from 1 species